UACGAAGGGGGCUAGCGUUGCUCGGAAUCACUGGGCGUAAAGGGUGCGUAGGCGGGUCUUUAAGUCAGGGGUGAAAUCCUGGAGCUCAACUCCAGAACUGCCUUUGAUACUGAAGAUCUUGAGUUCGGGAGAGGUGAGUGGAACUGCGAGUGUAGAGGUGAAAUUCGUAGAUAUUAGGAAGAACACCAGUGGCGAAGGCGGCUCACUGGCCCGGUACUGACGCUGAUGUGCGAAAGCGUGGGGAGCAAACAGGG
rnacentral:rRNA from 1 species